GGAUGUGAGGGGAACCUGGCAAUGACAUCCAUCACCAGUGGAAUUGGCUCAUCAGGCUGGCUAAGGUGGGUGUUUCCUUUCUUUCCCACCACUCCAUUCACACACCUCCCAAAACUGUAAGCUUGGUUGAAGAGGGCCUUCCUCAAUAGAAGGAGGCCAGUCUUUGGAUAGAUCCUCUGCUAGAAAUUCCAAACAAGUUUCUACCACUCCAAUAUUGCCACAUACAAGGACCCACAUUUCCAGCAUGUGAAACUCUGAGGGACACACUCAAAUCAUUUCUGAGCCAUAGCCUAUGUGCUUUGUAAA
rnacentral:sRNA from 1 species